rnacentral:lncRNA from 1 species
AAUUCCAGUAACAUUAAACAACACACACUAAUUAAAAGGAAAACAUUUUAGUUUAAGAGUAGAAGCAUUGUUUUCGAAUCAAACAUCGUCAGUUUUUAUAUUGGGCCUAACUCAUCCUUACAAAACCGGCUUGUAAGGUGAGGAUAGCCCAGCUAUAUAAACGCUACAUAGGCCAUAUAUCUAAGCAAUGUGAGACUAAAUCCACCCCUUCACACCCAACACAAUGAAGGUGUUGGAGGCUGCAAUGAAGACAACCCAAAUGCCGCAA